AAUAAAUGCAGCCAUGGUUUUCCGUGCCCAACUUUGACCGCUCGUCUUAUUUGAAAACUUUUUGAAAAAAAAAUAAGUCACGAGUAAAGUACCAUUCAUGUUGUAUCAUCUCAUAACAAUAAAAAUAUUAAUUAUAAAAAAAUUUUAAAUAAGACGGACAAUUAAAGUUGGACGCGGAAACUUAUGGCUGCACUUAUU
rnacentral:pre_miRNA from 1 species